AUGGAGCCGGAUGAGCUCCUGAGGAAGAUACGGGUGCUGGAGGAGGGCCAGGAGGAGCUCAAGCGGGAGAUAGGCAAGCUUAUCCCCGGGCAAGGCCACUCCUCCACGUCUCCGCCUCCGCCUCCGUGCCGCCCCUUCCCCGCACUGCAGCAGGCUACGUCGUCGAGGGGCCGCGCUCUGGCCUUGCUUCACCAAUCCUCCUCCUCCUCCUCCUCCUCGCGCCCGCAGCGCCCCGGGCUGUCCGACAGGCACUGCCACAGGAUACUGCAGUCGCUGGGGCAGGCCGUGCAUGUCAUUUCCCUUGAAGGCAAGGUCUUGUACUGGAACCGAUUUGCCGAGCAUCUAUAUGGCUAUUGUUCAUCAGAAGCGAUUGGCCAGGAUCUCCUUGAAUUAAUCUGUGAUCCUUGUGAUUUCAGUCCAGCACAUGAGAUUAUCCGUAAUAUAUUUAUGGGGAAGUGUUGGAGAGGGAAGUUUCCUGUCAAGCACAAGUCAGGAGAGCGGUUUUCUGUUGUUGUGAAUAACACUCCUUUAUAUGAUGAAGAUGGUAGCUUGGUGGGCCUCACCUGUCUGUCAGGUGAUGCACGGAUAUUGGAGGAAAUAGUUGGUCCUUCAGUCAUAGGGAAAUCCUAUCCAAAUUCAGGAAAGCCCCAUUUACAAGUUAACAACAAGCCUAAAAGUGUCUUGCCACAAAAAUGUUUGUCAGACUCCCAACAACCUCUACAAUCUGCCAUCACGUCUAAGAUAACAAAUUUGUGUAUUCUUUUCUUGAUUUCUAGAAUGACAACACAGGCUACAAAGGUUACAAGUAGAGUUCGUUCUCGGAUCAGGUCAGCUCAGAGUUGCGACGAACAGGAUGGUAAUGGUCGCCAGGGUCAGUAUUCUGAUCAUGAUGCCAGGGAAGAGUUGACAUCAAGUGAAGCAAGCACCCCAGGUGGGGAUGUACUGCAUGGUGCCUUUGUUACCGAAGAGAAAUCACCUGUGAACUCAAGAAAAACAAAUAGUGAUGAUUCAGGACAAGGAAAAGGAGGGUUUCAGAAGAUUUUUAGUUCAAAGGCAGAGGCAUUAUUGACCAAGAAGGGGAUAUCAUGGCCUUGGAAAGGAAAUGAAAACGAUGGUGGUUGUGGAAAGAAUAACAUGACUUCACCACUGUUACAUGAUAAGCAAGAGAACACUCAGAUUCGUCAGGGGGUACCAGUUCUAGAGCCUAUCAUAAUUCCAGACAGCAAGGACACUGAAUACGCCAAGGCAGGCAAAUAUGAGGUCUCAGGUUCCUGGUGGACUUUCAACAAUAACAGCACAAGUAGUACCAUGAGCAGCACUGUAAGUAGUAACAGCAGUCCUAUCGAGAGAGUAGAUUAUGAAGCAGACUGCCUAGAUUAUGAGAUCUUGUGGGAAGACCUAACACUUGGAGAACAAGUAGGUGAAGGUUCUUGUGGAACGGUGUAUCAUGCUUUGUGGUAUGGAUCGGAUGUGGCAGUUAAAGUAUUCUCCAGGCAGGAAUAUUCAGAAGAAAUGAUACGUACCUUCAGACAAGAGGUGUCACUGAUGAAGAAGCUACGUCAUCCCAAUAUUAUACUUUUCAUGGGUGCAGUUGCUUCUCAGGAACGGCUUUGUAUUGUUACGGAAUUUCUCCCACGAGGGAGCUUGUUUCGCUUACUACGAAAAACCACUGCCAAGUUGGAUCCAAGACGGCGAGUUCACAUGGCUAUAGACAUCGCAAGGGGCAUGAAUUAUCUUCACAGUUCCAGUCCCACCGUUGUACAUCGUGAUCUAAAAUCGUCAAAUCUGUUGGUUGAUAAGAACUGGACUGUGAAGGUUGCGGACUUUGGUCUUUCACGCCUCAAAAUCGAAACAUUCCUGACUACAAAAACUGGGAAAGGAACACCACAGUGGAUGGCUCCAGAAGUGCUACGUAAUGAACCUUCAAAUGAAAAGUCCGACGUGUACAGCUAUGGAGUGGUCCUAUGGGAGCUUGUUACUCAGAAGAUUCCUUGGGAUACUCUCAAUACAAUGCAGGUUAUCGGAGCCGUGGGUUUCAUGGACCACAGAUUGGAAAUUCCGAGUGACAUAGAUCCUCAAUGGGCAUCAAUGAUUGAGAGUUGUUGGGACAGUGACCCACAGCGCCGCCCUUCAUUCCAAGAACUCCUGGAGAGGCUCCGUGAGCUGCAAAAGAAAUACGCCCUGCAGGUGCAGAUGCAGCGGAGCGCGGCUGGGAAAGGCGCUGAAAAGAUGAGCGUUGAUGAUGGCUAG
rnacentral:rRNA from 1 species